rnacentral:rRNA from 1 species
CCUACGGGAGGCAGCCGUGAGGAAUAUUGGUCAAUGGCCGGAAGGCUGAACCAGCCAAGUCGCGUGAGGGAAUAAGGCCCUAUGGGUCGUAAACCUCUUUUGUCAGGGAGCAAAGGCGUCCACGAGUGGACGAAAGGAGAGUACCUGAAGAAAAAGCAUCGGCUAACUCCGUGCCAGCAGCCGCGGUAAUACGGAGGAUGCGAGCGUUAUCCGUAUUUAUUGGGUUUAAAGGGUGCGUAGGCGGAGUGUCAAGUCAGCGGUAAAAUUUCGGGGCUCAACCACGUCGUGCCGUUGAAACUGACACCCGUGAGUGAGUGAGAAGUAAGCGGAAUGCGUGGUGUAGCGGUGAAAUGCAUAGAUAUCACGCAGAACGCAGAGUGCGAAGGCAGCUUACCGGCGCUCAACUGACGCUGAGGCACGAAAGUGCGGGUAUCGAACAGGAUUAGAUACCCGAGUAGUC